rnacentral:miRNA from 1 species
AGAGGGUGCUCAUGAACUGCUC